UACGGAGGGUGCAAGCGUUGUCCGGAAUCACUGGGCGUAAAGGGCGCGUAGGCGGCCUGAUAAGUAGGAGGUGAAAUCCUGCGGCUUAACCGCAGGGCUGCCUUCUAAACUGUCAGGCUAGAGCACAGUAGAGGCAGGUGGAAUUCCCGGUGUAGCGGUGGAAUGCGUAGAGAUCGGGAAGAACAUCGGUGGCGAAGGCGGCCUGCUGGGCUGUUGCUGACGCUGACACGCGAAAGCUAGGGGAGCGAACGGG
rnacentral:rRNA from 1 species